GCUGCCAAUAGACCAGCUAUUAAUGGACAUAUUCCAAUAAACCAGUGAAAAAUGUCAAUAAAGUGGUUAUACAAAAUUCAUAUAUGAAUGUUACUGAAAAUACUGAAAAUACUGAAAAUGAGUGAAUUUUCGCGAUGCUGAUAAGAGAUAGAGGUUUGGUGUCUUGGACAAAGUUGUAUAACUCGCAGACUCCUAUAAUUUUACUGAAGACAUCUAUCUCUUAUCUCUUUAUUAUUAAAAAUGAUCGUGAAUUGAUAAUUUUUGUCAAAAUACAUGAAAAUAUAACCAUUUGAACAUUGGUUUAUCUACAUAUAGAAAAGUCGUUUAGACAAACCACAGAACCUCAAUUAGAUUAAAAGCGUUAUUUUUUGUUUAUUUAGUCUGUGUAUACGAUUAUGAGAUUGAGGGUCCAGUUGAAAAUGUAAUUUACGUAACUUCAACAUCGUUCCCUUGCUAUAUUGUUUGAGUGCAGGCGACAGACGACAAUAUUUCUAUCAUGCUGCAUACAAUGUGGCACAAUGUGAAUUCACAGAACGAGCCAAGAAUUCGGGUAAAAAAGUGAAAUUGUACGAAGAAAUCGGCGAUAAGACAUCCAAUAAUGGUGUGAAGGGCAUUGAGUAUGCGGGAACAAAAGCCAAGUUUUGGUUCGCCAACAAAGCAAUCUAAUCUAAAAUUGUUUACUUUUACGAAAAUAAAACAUCUAAAUUCAGAAGAUGACAAGAAACAAGUACCAUUCGAUAAUGUAAUACGUAAUAAAAAUCAAUGCAACAAUUCCAUAGAAUACUGUGUACUAUGCAGUUGUAAGAAUUGCAAUCUAUUGUUCUCUUAUUUUUAUUAAACAUUUUUCAGUUUAAAAAAAAUUACAAUAGAAAUUUUGUUUUCAUCCGAUCGCAUGAAUAUCAAGAAAGUCCGGUGCGAAUGCCCAAAAUACUUGGUUUCAUUUAUUGCUAAUUAUUGAAAUUGUGCAUUUCCAAGCCAAGUUUAACCGUAAAUAUGUCGAAUUGCAACGGAAAUUUAUUACUCUCUGUAAUUUUGGUUUGUUGCUGCAUGAAAACAAUGAACAUUCCUUCUUCAUCAGAAAAAUGUAUAAAAAAGUUGAUGACAGAAGUUUAAAAUCCAGUUUCCUCUACGCUCUUGCUCAAUUCAUUGCAAUAAAAAAACGUAAAUUUUGAAAAAAGUUUCAUUUUCAAUUCGAAGAACCAAUUGUAACAAGCAAUUGUUUUAAUUGUAUUGCAAUCCAUUCGAAUCAAAAUGAGGAUCGGUUUGAUUUUUGUUCUACUUGGAGUCGUCUAUGGCGCUUAUGAUUAUGCUAUCAUCGGAGAGGUUGAAAAUGUAAUUUACGUGACUUCAAAAGACUGGCCAUGCUAUGUUGCUUUAAAAAGUGACGGUGACAGUCGACAAUUCUACUAUCACGCGGCAUCCAAUGUGGAACAGUGCGGAUUUGCAGAGAGGGCGAAACAUUUCGAAUUCAAAGUUAAAUUAUAUGGAGAAAUUGCUCCUGGUAAUAAUAAUCUAUUGGCCAUUGAGUAUGCUAAUACGGAGUCUAAAUUUUGGUUCCAAUUAAAUGCAACCCGUCAUUGAUCGGACAAAUCAUACGAGAGUCUUGUGAAGAAGUAAAAUAAGAAUAUGAUCAAGAAAAUGUGUGCGAAAAGUGAAUAAAAUUCUGCUAUUUUGAACCCAUCAA